GGUGGUUCUCGGGUGACACCCCGGAAUAGGGCUCCCUCCUCUCUGGUUCCGAAUAUGUCACCCGAGAACCGCA
rfam:Myotis davidii contig214296, whole genome shotgun sequence.